rnacentral:lncRNA from 1 species
CUAAUUCGAAACCAAAACUGAAACCAAGCAAAACAGGUCACAUUGCUAGUUUCUUCCACAAUAGAUAUUUUCUUGUGAUACAUCUAGGAAGGAACAAGGUCCUCAAGUGGAUAGUUCCAACAUCCGCUUGUGGUUUGACGAAACAUCAGACAAUAUCUUUAUCAAUGAAAUAGGCACAAUCUCAUACCCGUUCGUUCAAAACGAAAAGAAAAGAAACAUCAGACAAUAGUUCGAAAAUCAAAGAAAGAAAGAAAGAGAAAACAAAUCGCCAGGAUCUUGUUUUGCCGUUCUGAAUUUGCGGUCGCCGUUCCCAUGCGAUGCGUAGCGUUGGUGGAUGGAUCCAUCAGUGGCCGCCGCCCACGGCGUCCUUGACCGCGGCCGCCGCGCCCUGGGCCAUCUGCGCCACCUGAUCAGCAGCCUGCGCUCCCACACGGAUGGGAGGAUUAGAGGAUUAUUCAUCGGAAAUCACCCGGCGAGGAGGAAUUCAUCCGUACAUACCUGCUGGACGGUGUCGGCGGCGCGGUGCUGCUGCUGCUGCGCGCUGUCGGCCGCAGCUCCGGUGGCGUCG